rnacentral:rRNA from 1 species
GAUGAACGCUAGCGGCAGGCUUAAUACAUGCAAGUCGAGGGGCAGCAUGAUUGUAGCAAUACAAUUGAAGGCGACCGGCAAACGGGUGCGGAACACGUACACAACCUUCCAACAAGUGGGGGAUAGCCCAGAGAAAUUUGGAUUAAUACCCCGUAACAUAGCGAUGUGGCAUCACAUUGCUAUUAUAGAUUUUUCGCUUGUUGAUGGGUGUGCGGCUGAUUAGAUAGUUGGCGGGGUAACGGCCCACCAAGUCUACGAUCAGUAGCUGAUGUGCGCGCAUGAUCAGCCACACGGGCACUGAGAAACGGGCCCGACUCCUACGGGAGGCAGCAGUAAGGAAUAUUGGACAAUGGACGCAAGUCUGAUCCAGCCAUGCCGCGUGAAGGAUUAAGGUCCUCUGGAUUGUAAACUUCUUUUAUAAGGGACGAAAAAAGGCUUUUCUAAGUCGUCUGACGGUACCUUAUGAAUAAGCACCGGCUAACUCCGUGCCAGCAGCCGCGGUAAAAC